GAGCUGUCAUUACUUGAGAUGGAGGAA
rnacentral:piRNA from 1 species